AACGCACGAGACCUGCGGACCUGCGGAAGGAUCAUUAGUGAACGCCCUCACGGGCUUAUAACUAUUCCAAACCUCUGUGAACCGUGCCCUUCGGGGCUAUUUUACAAACAUGGUGUAAUGAACGCCAUAUAUCAUAACAAAACAAAACUUUUAACAACGGAUCUCU
rnacentral:misc_RNA from 1 species